CCAUCAGAUCUCCUAAAAAUCUAAUGAGCAGAGUGCCGACCUGCCUCAACCGAGUUGUCGAUUCAUUUUUGAGAAUGUAUCGUAGAACAACAUAUCGGUAGAGCUUCCAUUAUAAACUAAAAUUCUUUUUACAUUAUACUUUGCUAUUGUCAUAGAAACGAUAAUAGCAUCAUUACGAGGGGUUUGAAUCUCCUUUACAUCAUUUUCAGAAAAUAAAAUAAUAUCUUCAGUCUUUUAUCUCUUGGGAGAUGAGUCAUCAGUGCCAUAUAGGACGCUAGAUAUCAUGUUGAUAACACCGAUCGUUGGUCGGUUGUGGUCCUC
rnacentral:lncRNA from 1 species